rnacentral:rRNA from 1 species
UACGUAGGGUGCGAGCGUUGUCCGGAAUUAUUGGGCGUAAAGGGCGCGUAGGCGGCGCGAUAAGUCAAAGGUGAAAUCCCUCGGCUCAACUGAGGAACUGCCUUUGAAACUGUCGUGCUUGAGGCCGGGAGGGGGUAGCGGAAUUCCCAGUGUAGCGGUGAAAUGCGUAGAUAUUGGGAGGAACACCAGUGGCGAAGGCGGCUACCUGGACCGGUUCUGACGCUGAUGCGCGAAAGCGUGGGUAGCAAACAGG